GAUGAACGCUAGCGGCAGGCUUAAUACAUGCAAGUCGAGGGGCAGCACGGGUAGCAAUACUGGGUGGCGACCGGCGCACGGGUGCGUAACACGUAUGUAAUCUGCCCUUAACUGGAGGAUAGCCCGGAGAAAUCCGGAUUAAUACUCCAUAGUAAUACGAGAAGGCAUCUUUUUGUAUUUAAAGCUCCGGCGGUUAAGGAUGAACAUGCGACUGAUUAGCUAGUUGGUGAGGUAACGGCCAACCAAGGCGGCGAUCAGUAGGGGUACUGAGAGGUUAAACCCCCACACUGGUACUGGGACACGGACCAGACUCGGACGGGAGGCAGCAGGAAGGAAUAUUGGACAAUGGAGGCAACUCUGAUCCAGCCAUGCCGCGUGCAGGAAGAAGGCGCUAUGCGUUGUAAACUGCUUUUGUACCAGAGAAAAUCACUGUACGUGUACGGUGUUGAUAGUAUGGUAAGAAUAAGCAUCGGCUAACUUCGUGCCAGCCGCCGCCGUAACAC
rnacentral:rRNA from 1 species